rnacentral:rRNA from 1 species
UACGUAGGGUGCGAGCGUUUGUCCGGAAUUAUUGGGCGUAAAGAGCUUGUAGGCGGUUUGUCGCGUCUGCUGUGAAAAUCCGGGGCUCAACCCCGGACUUGCAGUGGGUACGGGCAGACUGGAGUGUGGUAGGGGAGACUGGAAUUCCUGGUGUAGCGGUGGAAUGCGCAGAUAUCAGGAGGAACACCGAUGGCGAAGGCAGGUCUCUGGGCCGUAACUGACGCUGAGGAGCGAAAGCAUGGGGAGCGAACAGG